UACACAUGAGCAUUGCUAACCACACACGGCUACGGUUAUAUGUCGAGAGAAGUUCCUCGUUUUCAGCAUUCUGCUUGCAACUCUUGAAGCGCACACACGUUAUUACAAGCCCAAGGAUUUCGUCCUGUUAUUGAUUUUUCUCUUGGAUACAUUAUGAAGGCCGUUACACAAGCUUGCAUGAGACCAGCGGUUGAGCUCGGAAUCCGCCAGGAAUCCAGAAUCUUCAAACCGAAGAUGGACGAAACCUCAGCUGAAAUGACUGAAUGUUUCACCAAACUGAAGGACUUAGUACCGUCGGUACCACAGAACAAAAAAGUGUCAAAAACACAGCUUCUCCAACACGUGAUUGAUUACAUUUUGGACCUCGAACUUGCCCUGGAAGUACCAACUGUUCUUGGGAGCCUUACCCCUACAAGCUGUCGUUCACCUCUGAGUGAGAAAUCUCAACCCAACACUGUUCUUACCGAGAUUUGUCCAAUGGGUGAUGUAUCGAAAUAGACGUCCUUUCCGGAGACCAGUCCACAUGUGGACAUUCUCGACAGGUUGUGACGUAGAAAUUGGAUACCGAUUAUCCAGAGGAUGCUGUCCAUCCGAGUGACGUCACACGGGAUGAAUACCAGAGGGCGACGGUAACGCCGUCAACUGCCGCAGCAUCCGUUACUAGGCAACGAUAAAAGCGCGUGCACUGGCUGCCGGACUGUAGAACAAAAACACGUGGACUACAGGCGCCCUUGGUUCAUCAGACGGUUAUGAUUGGGAUGUUCUAAUGGACAUUCAUCAUAAUUUUAAUUUGGUGUAAUUUUUGAGUUGGACCUUUGUGUUGUAUUUUUUAACACUAAAUUUUACGGAAUGUUCAAGAUCCGGGAACGUAGGGUUUUACCUUGCGAUGAGGAAACCGACUUGUAACAAUUAUUGCCGAACUCUUGAAUACACAUCAUAUACGAGGAAGAAGUGUUUGGAAACCAGGAAAAUGAGGCACAUUUUCUGACGUUUUUACAGCGAAGGAGGAUUUUUAGCAGAGACAAUCUUAAUCGAGUUGACUUUGCGUACAGACAUUACGAUCAAUGUACAGUAGAAUGUUGAAGAGGAAGAUCGAUUUGUGUAGAGAACUUAUAUACAUCUGAUGUAUGUAAACUUUGUGAACGUAACCCACCGAUUAAGUAGUUACAAACCACAAAUAGAAGAUGAACUUUACCACCGAACAAAGAAAUGGAUGUAUACCAGUGGAUAUUUUUUUCAGUUACGUUUUGUUUUAUUAUUUGUUGUUGUCAAGUUCAAAUUUUAAACAAAAAUUCAUAUUAAAUUGUUUAUACGUUUCUAUA